AUACGUAGGGGGCGAGCGUUGUCCGGAAUGAUUGGGCGUAAAGGGCGCGUAGGCGGCCCGGUAAGUCUGGAGUGAAAGUCCUGUUUUUAAGAUGGGAAUUGCUUUGGAUACUGUCGGGCUUGAGUGCGGGAGAGGUAAGUGGAAUUCCCAGUGUAGCGGUGAAAUGCGUAGAGAUUGGGAGGAACACCAGUGGCGAAGGCGACUUACUGGACUGUAACUGACGCUGAGGCGCGAAAGUGUGGGGAGCAAACAGGAUUAGAUACCCUGGUGGUCCACACUGUAAACGAUGAAUGCUAGGUGUAGGGGGUAUCGACCCCUUCUGUGCCGCAGUCAACACAAUAAGCAUUCCGCCUGGGGAGUACGGCCGCAAGGUUGAAACUCAAAUGAAUUGACGGGG
rnacentral:rRNA from 1 species